rnacentral:rRNA from 1 species
AACGAACGCUAGCGGCGCGUUUAAGCAUGCAAGUCGAACGGGGAUAUUAGGAGCAAUUCUGGUAUCCUAGUGGCAAACGGGUGAGUAACACGUGGAUAAUCUGCCCUCAAGACCUGGAUAGCCCGCAGAAAUGCGGAUUAAUACGGGAUGUGGUGCCUGAUCAUGAGGAUCGGGACAUUAAAGGUGGGGACCGCAAGGCCUGCCGCUUGGGGAGGAGUCCGCGGCCCAUUAGCUAGUUGGUGGGGUAAAGGCCUACCAAGGCGACGAUGGGUAGCCGGCCUGAGAGGGUGACCGGCCACAUUGGGACUGAGACACGGCCCAGACUCCUACGGGAGGCAGCAGCUAAGAAUCUUCCGCAAUGGGCGAAAGCCUGACGGAGCGACGCCGCGUGGACGAUGAAGGUCUUCGGAUUGUAAAGUCAUUUCGGGGAGGAAGAAUAAGCCGGCUCUAACAGAGACGGUGAUGACGACCCUCCCAGAAGAAGCUCCGGCUAACUACGUG